rnacentral:rRNA from 1 species
AGCGAACGUUGGCGGCAGGCUUAACACAUGCAAGUCGAACGCAUCCUUCGGGGUGAGUGGCAGACGGGUGAGUAACACGUGGGAACGUACCCUUCGAUCUGGGAUAACUUCGGGAAACUGGAGCUAAUACCGGAUACGCCCUUUUGGGGAAAGGUUUACUGUCGAAGGAUCGGCCCGCGUCUGAUUAGCUAGUUGGUGGGGUAACGGCCUACCAAGGCGACGAUCAGUAGCUGGUCUGAGAGGAUGAUCAGCCACACUGGGACUGAGACACGGCCCAGACUCCUACGGGAGGCAGCAGUGGGGAAUAUUGGACAAGGGGCGCAAGCCUGAUCCAGCCAUGCCGCGUGAGUGAUGAAGGCCUUAGGGUUGUAAAGCUCUUUUGUCCGGGACGAUAAUGACGGUACCGGAAGAAUAAGCCCCGGCUAACUUCGUG